UUGGAGGGCAAGUCUGGUGCCAGCAGCCGCGGUAAUUCCAGCUCCAAUAGCGUAUAUUAAAGUUGUUGCAGUUAAAAAGCUCGUAGUUGAACCUCGGGGUCUACCCAUUGGUCAGGCUUAAUUGUCUGCACUGGUGAGAUGGAUCUCUACCUUCUGAGGAACUUUCAUGCCAUUUAUUUGGUGUGAUGGGAAAUCAGGACUGUUACUUUGAAAAAAUUAGAGUGUUUAAAGCAGACUAUCGUCUGAAUACAUUAGCAUGGAAUAAUGAAAUAGGACGUUCGAUCCUAUUUUGUUGGUUUCUAGGACCACCGUAAUGAUUAAUAGGGAUAGUUGGGGGCAUAAGUAUUCAAUUGUCAGAGGUGAAAUUCUUGGAUUUAUUGAAGACUAACUACUGCGAAAGCAUUUGCCAAGGAUGUUUUCAUUAAUCAAGAACGAAAGUUAGGGGAUCGAAGACGAUCAGAUACCGUCGUAGUCUUAACCAUAAACUAUGCCGACUAGGAAUCAGACGAUGUUAAUUUUUUAAUGACUCGUUUGGCACCUUACGGGAAACCAAAGUGUUUGGGUUC
rnacentral:rRNA from 1 species